UAUUAGUAUUUCAUUUAUGAUGGUUCUAUCUUUAGACCAUAUACUAUGGAUAGAGUUAUUGACUAAAUAUUUGAAGCAAAUACAACUAAGAGAAGUUGGGACAAAUGCACAUGCGCAAAAUUGAUAUCACACGCAAUUGGUCGAAUUUAUGUAAUUACGUGUGACUCAUCAUCACUGCCUAGUGGUAUUGUAUUGAUUAUACGAUAAUUAAUAUGCGACGAGUACUGAUACGCAUGCGCAAUAGACAUCAGUCUUCUUAGCACUCGUUAAUAAUGGUGUCUUCAACUGUAUGCGGUUAUCAUGCAGUAGCUCCAUAGUAUAUGAUCUAAGGUUCUAUCUUAGUGG